rnacentral:rRNA from 1 species
CGGACGGGUGAGUAAUGUCUGGGAAACUGCCCGAUGGAGGGGAUAACUACUGGAAACGGUAGCUAAUACCGCAUAACGUCGCAAGACCAAAGAGGGGGACCUUAGGGCCUCUUGCCAUCGGAUGUGCCCAGAUGGGAUUAGCUAGUAGGUGGGGUAAUGGCUCACCUAGGCGACGAUCCCUAGCUGGUCUGAGAGGAUGACCAGCCACACUGGAACUGAGACACGGCCCAG